rnacentral:rRNA from 1 species
AACGAACGCUGGCGGCAUGCCUAACACAUGCAAGUCGAGCGCCUGUAGCGAUACGGGAGCGGCGCACGGGUGAGUAACGCGUGGGAACCUGCCCUUAGGUUCGGGACAACCGCGGGAAACUGCGGCUGAUACCGGAUGAAGUCCCCGAUAGAGAUAUUGGGGCCCAAAGAUUUAUCGCCUUUGGAGGGGCCCGCGUCGGAUUAGGUAGUUGGUGGGGUAACGGCUCACCAAGCCUGUGAUCCGUAGUUGGUCUGAGAGGAUGAUCAGCCACACUGGGACUGAGACACGGCCCAGACUCCUACGGGAGGCAGCAGUGGGGAGUAUUGGACAAUGGGGGCAACCCUGAUCCAGCAAUGCCGCGUGGGUGAUGAAGGCCUUCGGGUUGUAAAGCCCUUUCGGCGGGGACGAUGAUGACGGUACCCGCAGAAGAAGCCCCGGCUAACUUCGUGCCAGCCGCCGCGGUAAUAC